AAUCUUGCGCAAUGGGCGAAAGCCUGACGCAGCGACGCCGCGAGAGCGAUGAAGGCCUUCGGGUUGUAAAGCUCUGUGGAGAGGGACAAGUAAGGGCUGGCGAAUACCCAGCCUGUCGACGGUACCCCUUUAGCAAGCACCGGCUCACUCUGUUCCAGCAGCCGCGGUAAGACAUAGGGUGCAAACGUUGUUCGGAAUUACUGGGCGUAAAGCGCGUGUAGGCGGCUAUGCAAGUCGGAUGUGAAAUCCCGCGGCUCAACCGUGGAAGUGCAUCCGAAACUGCGUGGCUAGAGUCCCGGAGAGGAAGGUGGAAUACUUGGUGUAGAGGUGAAAUUCGUAGAUAUCAAGUGGAACACCGGUGGCGAAGGCGGCCUUCUGGACGGUGACUGACGCUGAGACGCGAAAGCGUGGGUAGCAAAC
rnacentral:rRNA from 1 species